GAUUCGCGCAGCCGGCGGGCGACCGGCGCCUCCACCGUCGAGGAUGCGGACUUUACGAAUUCGCCCUGUUCAUUAAGCCGGGCGAGAACUUCC
rnacentral:tRNA from 1 species